UUCCUACGGGGGGCAGCAGUGAGGAAUAUUGGUCAAUGGCCGAGAGGCUGAACCAGCCAAGUCGCGUGAGGGAUGACGGCCCUACGGGUUGUAAACCUCUUUUGUCGGGGAGCAAGACCCGCCACGAGUGGCGGAGCGAGAGUACCCGAAGAAAAAGCAUCGGCUAACUCCGUGCCAGCAGCCGCGGUAAUACGGAGGAUGCGAGCGUUAUCCGGAUUUAUUGGGUUUAAAGGGUGCGCAGGCGGACCAUCAAGUCAGCGGUAAAAUUGCGGGGCUCAACCCCGUCGAGCCGUUGAAACUGGCAG
rnacentral:rRNA from 1 species